rnacentral:rRNA from 1 species
GCUGCGGAGGGAUCAUUA